AGCGAACGCUGGCGGCAGGCCUAACACAUGCAAGUCGAACGAAGUCUUCGGACUUAGUGGCGGACGGGUGAGUAACACGUGGGAGCGUGCCCUUAGGUUUGGAAUAACUCAGGGACACUUGUGCUAAUACCGAAUGUGCCCUUCGGGGGAAAGAUUUAUCGCCUUUAGAGCGGCCCGCGUCUGAUUAGCUAGUUGGUGAGGUAAAGGCUCAUCAAGGCUAAGAUCAUUAGCUGGUCUGAGAGGAUGACCAGGCACAUUGGGACUGAGACACGGACCCAACUCCUACGGGAGGCAGCAGUGGGGAAUCUUGCGCAAUGGGCGGAAGCCUGACGCAGCCAUGCCGAGUGGAUGAUGAAGGUCUUAGGAUUGUAAAAUCCUUUCACCAGUGAAGAUAAUGACGGUAGCCGGAGAAGAAGCCCCGGCUAACUUCGUGCCAGCCGCCGCCGUAAAAC
rnacentral:rRNA from 1 species